ACAUCGCCUCUUGAACUUUAUAAGAGGUCCAGCCUGCCCAGUGACUCUGUUCAACGGCCGCGGUAUCCUAACCGUGCGAAGGUAGCGUAAUCACUUGUUCUUUAAAUGCGGACUAGUAUGAAUGGCACUACGAGGGUUAUACUGUCUCCUUUUUCUAAUCAGUGAAACUAAUUUUCCCGUGAAGAAGCGAGGAUAUAACUAUAAGACGAGAAGACCCUAUGGAGCUUUAAACAACCCAGCAAUUACUUCUAAAAUUGUAAAUUUCAGAAUAUUCAUUUCUUAAGUAAUGUGUCUGCAAGUUUUUGGUUGGGGUGACCAUGGAGAAUAACAUAACCUCCAUAUUGAAUGAAUUCCCUUCUAAGCUGAAAAUUACCAAUUGAAGCAUCAACAUACUGACAUCUAUUGACCCAAUAUAUUUGAUCAACGAACCAAGUUACCCUAGGGAUAACAGCGCAAUCUACUUCAAGAGCCCCUAUCGACAAGUGGGUUUACGACCUCGAUGUUGGAUCAGGGUAUCCCAGUGGCGCAGCCGCUACUAAAGGUUCGUUUGUUCAACGAUUAAAACCCUACGUGAUC
rnacentral:rRNA from 1 species